rnacentral:misc_RNA from 1 species
UUUAAAUGUUGAAUGAGAUUCCAGUUUGUGCCAUAUACAUACAUGUAUGAUAUAAGUAACAUUCACGUUGUGUUUCUAAGAUAUCACAACGAUGAAUAGUUUUUAUCAUUGUCUUUGUUUCAGUUUGAAGUGGAUUGUAUUCCAAGUACCUGAACAAACAUACGCACAAUUUGGAUUUUUUUCCAAACAUUUGUGAUGUAUCAGUGCAUUCCUUUUCACAACGAAUUGACAUAUUAUUUGAUAUAUUGGACUAAACUUUUCUAAAUAACAUUUCUUAAAUUAUUUUUGCUGAGUGAGCUUGCAGUAUGUGAUUUGUAUGAAGAUAUUGGCUACUGAAUAUAUAAAGUAAAAUCUAUGCAUGCAAUUUACAGCUUAUGUACAUAAUUAUACCUGUAUCAGCAUUUUUAGCAAACUUAGUUUACAUGUAACUAGUUUGUUAGAAUUAAGGUAGAUUUUUUACGAUUUACAUGUGAAAAGAAUCUCGCGAUGAACUGUAUAUAAUGCUCACUAUUGAAAAUAUUUCCAACCAUUGAAACAAUGUAGGGCAGAUAUUCUAAUCAAGUGACAGAAGUCUCAACCGUUUGCGUUUUUACAAAUUGUAUGUAUUUCACUUUAUGCUUUUUUUUUUCAAUUUAAUAAACUGAUUUAUCAAAGAC